GAUGAACGCUGACAGAAUGCUUAACACAUGCAAGUCAACUUGAACUUCGGUUUGGGUGGCGGACGGGUGAGUAACGCGUACAGAACUUGCCUCACAGAUAGGGACAACAUUUGGAAACGAAUGCUAAUACCUGAUAUUAUGAUUAUAUGGCAUCGUAUAAUUAUGAAAGCUAUAUGCGCUGUGAGAGAGCUUUGCGUCCCAUUAGCUAGUUGGAGAGGUAACGGCUCACCAAGGCGAUGAUGGGUAGCCGGCCUGAGAGGGUGAUCGGCCACAAGGGGACUGAGACACGGCCCUUACUCCUACGGGAGGCAGCAGUGGGGAAUAUUGGACAAUGGACCAAGAGUCUAAUCCAGCAAUUCUGUGUGCACGAUGAAGUUUUUCGGAAUGUAAAGUGCUUUCAGUUGGGAAGAAAAAAAUGACGGUACCAACAGAAGAAGUGACGGCUAAAUACGUG
rnacentral:rRNA from 1 species